GCCCUAGUAGCUCAGCGC
rnacentral:tRNA from 12 species